rnacentral:rRNA from 1 species
AGCAGCCGCGGUAAUUCCAGCUCCAAUAGCGUAUAUUAAAGUUGUUGCAGUUAAAAAGCUCGUAGUUGAAUUUCGGGAUCAGUACGCUGGUCGUGCCUUUGGUAUGUACUGGUGUCACUGAUUCCUCCCUUCUGAAGAACCGUUAUGCCAUUUAUUUGGUGUGGCGGGGAAUCAGGACUGUUACUUUGAAAAAUUGAGUGUUUAAAGCAGGCUCGCGCUUGAAUACAUUAGCAUGGAAUAAUGAAAUAGGACGUUUGAUCUUAUUUUGUUGGUUUCUAGGAUCGACGUAAUGAUUAAUAGGGAUAGUUGGGGGCAUUAGUAUUCAAUUGUCAGAGGUGAAAUUCUUGGAUUUAUUGAAGACUAACUACUGCGAAAGCAUUCGCCAAGGAUGUUUUCAUUAAUCAAGAACGAAAGUUAGGGGAUCGAAGACGAUCAGAUACCGUCGUAGUCUUAACCAUAAACUAUGCCGACUAGGGAUCGGAUGAUGUUAAUUUUAAUGA